rnacentral:rRNA from 1 species
GACGAACGCUGGCGGCGUGCCUAAUACAUGCAAGUCGUACGCUUCUUUUUCCACCGGAGCUUGCUCCACCGGAAAAAGAAGAGUGGCGAACGGGUGAGUAACACGUGGGUAACCUGCCCAUCAGAAGGGGAUAACACUUGGAAACAGGUGCUAAUACCGUAUAACAAUCGAAACCGCAUGGUUUUGAUUUGAAAGGCGCUUUCGGGUGUCGCUGAUGGAUGGACCCGCGGUGCAUUAGCUAGUUGGUGAGGUAACGGCUCACCAAGGCCACGAUGCAUAGCCGACCUGAGAGGGUGAUCGGCCACAUUGGGACUGAGACACGGCCCAAACUCCUACGGGAGGCAGCAGUAGGGAAUCUUCGGCAAUGGACGAAAGUCUGACCGAGCAACGCCGCGUGAGUGAAGAAGGUUUUCGGAUCGUAAAACUCUGUUGUUAGAGAAGAACAAGGAUGAGAGUAACUGUUCAUCCCUUGACGGUAUCUAACCAGAAAGCCACGGCUAACUACGUGCCAGCAGCCGCGGUAAUACGUAGGUGGCAAGCGUUGUCCGGAUUUAUUGGGCGUAAAGCGAGCGCAGGCGGUUUCUUAAGUCUGAUGUGAAAGCCCCCGGCUCAACCGGGGAGGGUCAUUGGAAACUGGGAGACUUGAGUGCAGAAGAGGAGAGUGGAAUUCCAUGUGUAGCGGUGAAAUGCGUAGAUAUAUGGAGGAACACCAGUGGCGAAGGCGGCUCUCUGGUCUGUAACUGACGCUGAGGCUCGAAAGCGUGGGGAGCAAACAGGAUUAGAUACCCUGGUAGUCCACGCCGUAAACGAUGAGUGCUAAGUGUUGGAGGGUUUCCGCCCUUCAGUGCUGCAGCUAACGCAUUAAGCACUCCGCCUGGGGAGUACGACCGCAAGGUUGAAACUCAAAGGAAUUGACGGGGGCCCGCACAAGCGGUGGAGCAUGUGGUUUAAUUCGAAGCAACGCGAAGAACCUUACCAGGUCUUGACAUCCUUUGACCACUCUAGAGAUAGAGCUUCCCCUUCGGGGGCAAAGUGACAGGUGGUGCAUGGUUGUCGUCAGCUCGUGUCGUGAGAUGUUGGGUUAAGUCCCGCAACGAGCGCAACCCUUAUUGUUAGUUGCCAUCAUUCAGUUGGGCACUCUAGCAAGACUGCCGGUGACAAACCGGAGGAAGGUGGGGAUGACGUCAAAUCAUCAUGCCCCUUAUGACCUGGGCUACACACGUGCUACAAUGGGAAGUACAACGAGUCGCGAAGUCGCGAGGCUAAGCUAAUCUCUUAAAGCUUCUCUCAGUUCGGAUUGUAGGCUGCAACUCGCCUACAUGAAGCCGGAAUCGCUAGUAAUCGCGGAUCAGCACGCCGCGGUGAAUACGUUCCCGGGCCUUGUACACACCGCCCGUCACACCACGAGAGUUUGUAACACCCGAAGUCGGUGAGGUAACCUUUUGGAGCCAGCCGCCUAAGGUGGGAUAGAUGAUUGGGGUGAAG